GAGCCGCUCAGUUGCAGCGAAGUACUCCGUGCCUUGGCUUGCAGCCCUCCUAGUGAUGAUUGCAAGCCGGCGCUUCUCCUAAAAUAUUUCCUGCUCCUCCAUCCACCAGACAGAGUAGAAGUUUACAGUAGACAGUACAGUCAUAGUAUAACAUUAUGGCCCUAUAGCUUGCAUUAGUUAUUUUUAAAGGCCUCGGUGUUUAAAGAAGCCUCAUCCACGCGCUCCUCUACCCCCAGAACAAGCUGCAGAAGUCAGCAGAGCCGGGCAGGUUGGCAGGGAGGAAACAUCACAAGCCCCCUGUGGCAGGGAGUUCAAAAGCUCGGGGCCACAACUGAGAAGGACCAGUCCUGCAUAGAGCCUCGGUCAAUGACAGCAUGUGAAGCACAGCUCAUCCAAAAGAAUACAAAAGACAGGCCUUCUUGCACUAAGGAUACUACCACUAGUUAGCUGUGAGGUGAUGCAUAAGGAACCAGAUAAGAAGCAACAACAAGCAUGCAACCAACCAAGCAGGUGGGAAGCAGUAGCAGCA